UACGUAGGCAGCGAGCGUUGUUCGGAAUUACUGGGCGUAAAGAGUGUGUAGGCGGUGCUCUAAGUUCGGUGUGAAAUCUCCUGGCUUAACUGGGAGGGUGCGCCGGAAACUGGAGUGCUCGAGCGUGGGAGAGGAAAGCGGAAUUCCUGGUGUAGCGGUGAAAUGCGCAGAUAUCAGGAGGAACACCAAUGGCGAAGGCAGCUCGCUGGGACGGUACUGACGCUGAGACGCGAAAGCGUGGGGAGCAAACAGG
rnacentral:rRNA from 1 species